rnacentral:tRNA from 1 species
GUUUCGGUAGCUCAACGGUAGAGCGUUUGGUUGUAACCAAAAGACUGUAGGUUCAAACCCUACUCGAAGCU